rnacentral:rRNA from 1 species
CCGACCGGCGCACGGGUGAGUAACACGUAUGGAACCUGCCCGCAGCAGGGGGAUAAGCGGAAGAAAUUCCGUCUAAUACCGCGUAACAACGUUGGGAGGCAUCUCCCGAUGUUUAAAGAUUUAUCGGCUGCGGAUGGCCAUGCGGCGCAUUAGCUAGUCGGCGGGGUAACGGCCCACCGAGGCGACGAUGCGUAGGGGUUCUGAGAGGAAGGUCCCCCACACUGGUACUGAGACACGGACCAGACUCCUACGGGAGGCAGCAG